GAAGGAAUGAGGCGAUUACGCCGUUUACGAUUCGAGUUUGUUUGCUACCUGCUGCCUACAUGACAUCGGACGUAAAACGGACGGAUGAAAGAGGUCGGGAAGCGUUCGUUUGUAAGCAAAGGAAAGAAGAGAUGGACAAGGGUCCGAAGAGAAACGAGGAAGGGAGUGAGAACGAGAUAUUAACCCUUUGUGGUUAUACCGAAACAGAGAUAUGGAUACCAUGUUGGAUUUAAUUUUUAAUGGACGAAUAUCAGGAACAGCCACGCUGCCUCAGACUGCCUGACGGAUAACUGUGCAUACCAACGUGUACAAAGAUGCAUAGAAUGCACCAGAACAAACGUAGUUUAUAUUUUUUCAACGUGAUCGAAGGGCAGAGAAAGGAGAAACAUCAGGGAAGGGGAAAAGGAGAAGAAGAUGGAAAAGAAGGUUCAAGGUCGUGAGGAUGAAAGAAGCGCGUUUACCGUAGGAGUGGUCGUGUGGGGGGUCGAUGCGUCGUGGCCUCGAGCGUAUGUGUACGCGAGAACGGUUUCGGAACGGCCGCGUAAUCCGAAUCCGAAUCCGAAACCAGUUUCUGCCCCGUGGGUCAACCAGACCCGUCCUCUUCUUCAACGUCGUCUCCCACCGUGUUCGUCACUCCCCCGAAUCGAGUCUCCCUCUUCCUAUCACGACCAAUACAUCUCCUUUCUUCCGAAUCGCUGUGACCACCUCGUAUCUUUUCCAUUCUGACAUUCUUCAAUCAUCAUCGACCGAUCACGAUGAUCUAAUAGUAGAAAAAUCCUGAUUGUUGUAUCGAUGCGAUACCUACGAACCGUUCUUUCUCGUUCUUUAAAGACGUGUAAAUUAGUGAACAGUUCAUGAACAGUGUUCGGAGAGAAGAUGUUCGUAGGUGUAUUAUGUUCAUGUCAACUGUACAUAACACAAGCAUAUUUCUCGCAGUAUGCGAAUAAAUGAUAAACAGAACUGUUCGUCAAACGUAAUAAUUACCUGAAGCGUUUGCAUCAAAUGAACACGGUGCAGUACUUGAAAUAUUUUUCUCGGUUUUGGGAAUUUGUUACAUGCAAUAUUUAUAAGAAAAUCGUAGAAUCACUAUAAAAUGUUUGCGAACAUCUUACGAAAUGUUCGGUCGCGUCCUUUUCGCGAACUAUCGGGAUACGAUGUUACUUCUGUUCGUGAACAGUACGCAAACUACCUGCAAGCUGUCUGAACAACUAGCGAACGGUUCAGAAAGAUGUUCAGGAAGUAGCUCAGGCCAAUAUGAACCCAGCGUAAUGUUUGUUUCUCCCGUCGAUUCUAUUAUGUCGAUAUUAUGAGUUUUUCGACGAACGUUUCAUUUCCGUAGAUAACCUUAUGCCCUCUUAUCCAACUCGGGCGUCGCACAGAGAGACAUACAUAUAAGUAUUAUAACGCGAUCUUGUCAAGGACUUGGUUGCAUCGUCUCGCGAUUCGAGGAACAAGUACAGUCAGCGUGUACUGUAAUGAUUAUAAGUAAUAAAUUAAAUCACUUCUUCAGUUCA